AGCAGCCGCGGUAAUUCCAGCUCCAAUAGCGUAUAUUAAAGUUGUUGCAGUUAAAAAGCUCGUAGUUGAAUUUCGGGAUCAAUAUAUCGGUCAUGCCUUGGUAUGUACUGGUUUUAUUGGUUCUCACCUUCUAAAGAACCAUGAUGUCAUUCAUUUGAUGUUAUGGGGAAUUAGGACUGUUACCUUGAAAAAAUUUAGAGUGUUUAAAGCAAGCUUACGCUUGAAUACAUUAGCAUGGAAUAAUGAAAUAGGACAUCAGAUUCUAUUUUGUUGGUUUCUAGGAUCGAUGUAAUGAUUAAUAGGGAUAGUUGGGGGCAUUAGUAUUCAAUUGUCAGAGGUGAAAUUCUUGGAUUUAUUGAAGACUAACUACUGCGAAAGCAUUUGCCAAGGAUGUUUUCAUUAAUCAAGAACGAAAGUUAGGGGAUCGAAGACGAUCAGAUACCGUCGUAGUCUUAACCAUAAACUAUGCCGACUAGGGAUCGGAUGAUGUUAAUUUUUUAAUGACUCAUUCGGCGCCUUA
rnacentral:rRNA from 1 species